UGCAGUCGAGCGGAUGAGAAGAGCUUGCUCUUCGAUUCAGCGGCGGACGGGUGAGUAAUACCUAGGAAUCUGCCUGGUAGUGGGGGACAACGUUUCGAAAGGAACGCUAAUACCGCAUACGUCCUACGGGAGAAAGCAGGGGACCUUCGGGCCUUGCGCUAUCAGAUGAGCCUAGGUCGGAUUAGCUAGUUGGUGAGGUAAUGGCUCACCAAGGCGACGAUCCGUAACUGGUCUGAGAGGAUGAUCAGUCACACUGGAACUGAGACACGGUCCAGACUCCUACGGGAGGCAGCAGUGGGGAAUAUUGGACAAUGGGCGAAAGCCUGAUCCAGCCAUGCCGCGUGUGUGAAGAAGGUCUUCGGAUUGUAAAGCACUUUA
rnacentral:rRNA from 2 species